AUUGUGGGGAUGCAGUGUUUUUUAUUGCUGCAUCGAGAACGCUGCCACGAAUUCUGCUGGAAGCUUCCCCAAUUACCCUUGUCAUUUUCUCUCCCCACCCUCCUUCUCUCAAAUGUUCAUUUGCAGAACCCAAAUUCAAACUCCAUCAAUCCAAAAAAAAUGUCGUCGUCGUUGUGAAUAGCAUACCUCUCGAACCAAACAUCCUUAAAAAUUGACAAAUUUCACGACUGCUUCAUCAUAUGUUGGGGGUUAAUUAGAAAUAGCUCCAUUCUCUACAAAGGAUUGACUGGUCUGGCUCUUGUUUUCGACAAAUUCCAGCGGCUUGCAGAUCGGGAGAUUUCUUGGGUUACAAAGGUACGUAGUCAUUGUGAUUUGCAACUCUGGUAAUUUUGGGGAUUAGACUGGUUGCAUUGCGGUCCACACAGAGUAGACCGUGUGAUUGCAGACCUACACUGUGAACUACCACUCCGAAUCGCACCGCCGACGGCCGUGAACAAAAUUGACGUAGGUAAUAAGCUCAACCUCUGUUGCGGUGCUAUGUUUUGUGCCAAUUAUCUGGUUUUUGGUCCUCCAACGGUGUGAAUAAUUAUCUAUGACAGCUAUAAAAUACGUUCAAAACAUCUAUAAUGGUUUGGGUCAUGUUUGCUUGCAGAAUCAGAACAUAGGGUGUGGUCCUGCUGAGGUUUUGAUUAUGCACCUCCUUCAUUGGGGUAUCAUAUUUUGUUUUUCUCCGUGGUUGUUUUUUUGUUUUUAAAUUAACGCACUGGAAUCUAACAUGUAAUAUGUGGGGAUGAACGUACUUAGUCGAAUACCGGACUGUAUUUUUAUGAAUUGUUAAGGACGUCUACAGGAUGAGAACACCCACAACAAAGUAUGGCAGCAUAGUCAUGAUGCUGGAAGACCUCUUGCAUUUAUAUCGGUUUGAGACCACAAUACUUGUACAGCGUUACAUCAAGGCUAAGACGAAACGUGCGCGUCGUAGGAUUGUAGAACAAGCCAGACAGUACAACGUCCUCAAUAAGGUUCCCAACCAACUACAUCACUUGGACAAACUCAUUCAUCUAACAGAUGUAGAUUGCAUAGAUAACCUCCGAAUGGACAGCAACACAUUUGGAAAGUUGUGUCGUAUUCUGGCAGGCCGGGGGGGUUACAAAUUGGUAAAUGUCUAGGGAUCGAAGAACAGGUAGCGAUAUUUGUUGGCGUUCUGGCACAUCACACAAAAAAUCGGAUCAUAAAAUUUAAUUUUACACUGUCUGGAUCCACGAUAUCCUAUUACGUCAAUAAAGUUUUAGGUGCUGUGUUUAGCCUUCAUGACAUAGUAUUUUCAAUGCCUACCCCGGUACCGGAGGACUGCAAUGACGACAGAUGGAAAUGGUUCAAGGGUUGCCUUGAUGGAACACACAUCGACGUCUUGGUGAGCACCAGCGAUAAACCACGGUAUCGCACGCGCAAAGGGUCUAUUGCCAUCAACGUGUUAGCUGUGUGCGACUGAGACAUGCAGUUUGUGUAUAUCCUACCUGGAUGGGAGGGGUCCGCGGGGGAUUCUCGUGUGCUAAGGGAUGCGGUGUCCAGACAAAAUGGCUUCAGAGUUCCCCAAGAUUGCUAUUAUUUAUGCGACAACGCAUACACUAACUGCAACGGCUUCUUAACUCCUUACAAAGGCGUCCGCUAUCAUCUCAAGGAAUGAGGGGUCGGAGAUGCAGCUCCACAAGAUCCCAAAGAACUGUUUAACAUGGAUCACAACAAGGCUAGGAAUGUAAUCGAACGAGCCUUUGCUGUGCUUAAGAUGCGUUGGGGGAUUUUGCGAAGUCCAUCAUUUUAACCAAUUCAAACCCAGAUCAGGCUGAUCAUGGCUUGUUUCCUUUUGCAUAAUUUCAUUCGGCGUGAGAUGAGUACUGAUCCCUUAGAAGACUCCCUUGCAGAAGUUGCUUCUACAAACAUUCGUGAUGACAAUUACGUCGCACAACAACACAUUGAUGUUGUGGAACCUUCGCAAGAGUGGACUGCACUGCGUGAUACCAUGGCCCUGAACAUGUGAAACAGUAGAUAGAUUGAAAUUAGUAAUUUAUUAAUGCUUAUUAUGAACUUGUGGGAUCCAUGUACUACUACCAAUACCAGACUAUUUGUUGUGAUGUUUUUUUCAGCCUGUGUCGUUAUGCACUUGUUUAUGGGGCUAAUACAAUACUGAGCUUGUUGUUUUCCUCUCAGCAAAUGUCUCAUCUCAUUGGAAACAUUGAUGGCAUUCCCCAGUGUGGGUGUGGAUCGGGGAUGAUGGAGAUGCGUCGUGCAAGUAAAGAAGCUAUCAACGCCGGAAGGUAUUACUUCAAAUGCCCCGCAAAUGUCAACCACCGUGGUUCAUUUAUGUGGUGUGAUGGGUACGUCAGAGGUAUGAGCGCAAAGCGUACAUUUGAUGACCGUGGAAACACUCUACAAUUAGGUGAGAAACGCCCACAUUUGAUUGCUGGAUCAGACUUCGCAGCUGGAUGUCGCCAAUGUUGCGUCAGCAACUCACCACUUGAUGUGAAGACCCUCUUCGUAAUUGGGUUUAUUGGAAUCCUCUUGGUUGUAUUUGGAAUUUUAAUUGGCAAGAUUAUGUAACAUGUAGGCGAACUUCACCUAUAGAUAUGUAUUAUGUUUGCAACUAUUUUAUCGCUGUAAUUGAUUUAGACGAGCACAAGAAAGAAAGAUAAUUAGAACUCA